AUACCAAAAGCUAGAUUUUUGAGGGGAAGGUUUUUUAAAAUAACCUUAACCAUCUCCUGCUAUUUGGCAGAAUGAGUAAGACCACACUCCACAGUGGGCUAUACCACCUAGUAUGGUUCAUUACUAUCUUGUGGCCUACAUU